rnacentral:misc_RNA from 1 species
GUAGGUGAACCUGCGGAAGGAUCAUUAACACAAUACUUUCUAAUAUCAAUAACCUUUGUGCACCUGUCUGAGCCUUUCUUGCGGGGGUCGUCUAGAUCAUGGUUGGUUCGGUCUAGCCUGCUGUCAUAGUUAGCCCGUCAAAAUGACUUUGCGCUUUCCCUUCGGGUCGAAACGCUUCGUGCUUUGACGAUCGGUCUAAUGCCCCGUCUUUUUAGGUGAAACAGUCUCAACCAUGACUGUGCCAAAUUUU